rnacentral:rRNA from 1 species
CCUACGGGGGGCAGCAGUGAGGAAUAUUGGUCAAUGGGCGCGAGCCUGAACCAGCCAAGUAGCGUGCAGGAUGACGGCCCUAUGGGUUGUAAACUGCUUUUAUACGGGGAUAAAGUGGCGAACGUGUUUGCUAUUGCAGGUACCGUAUGAAUAAGGACCGGCUAAUUCCGUGCCAGCAGCCGCGGUAAUACGGAAGGUCCAGGCGUUAUCCGGAUUUAUUGGGUUUAAAGGGAGCGUAGGCCGCUGAUUAAGCGUGUUGUGAAAUUUGGAUGCUCAACAUCUGAACUGCAGCGCGAACUGGUUAGCUUGAGUGUGCGCAACGCAGGCGGAAUUUGUGGUGUAGCGGUGAAAUGCUUAGAUAUCACGAAGAACUCCGAUUGCGAAGGCAGCUUGCGGGAGCACAACUGACGCUGAAGCUCGAAAGCGCGGGUAUCGAACAGGAUUAGAUACCCUUGUAGUC